ACCAGGCAUGGUGGUAUGUGCCUAUAGUCCGAGCUACUCAGGAGGCUAAAGCAGGAGGAUAGCUUGCGUCCAGGAGUUUGGGCUGCGGUGCACUAUGCUGAUUGGGUGUCCACAUUAAGUUCAGCAUCAAUAUGGUGAACCUCCUGGGAGCAGACUAGGUUGUCUAACGAGUGGUGAACAGGCCCAGGUCAGAAAUGGAAAUGGAGCAGGUCAAAACUCCCAUGCUGAUCAGUAGUGGGAUCCCACUUAUGAAUAGCCACUGUACUCCAGCCUGAGCAACACUGUCUUU
rnacentral:SRP_RNA from 1 species